CUAAACUCAACAUAGAGGAACGGCAGCAAGACCUUUUUGUCCUACAGCGACCACCUGAUGCGUUUGAAUUAGGAGGAGCAAGAAUGCAGGACUCAGCUGAUGGCAGUUUGCAAUCUACUGACAUUUACUGUGUGUGGCCCGCAAGGCAGCCUGCAGCUCGAGCGGUUGGUUGGUUUGGAGUGGAUGAGAGGAUGGAGUGUGUGGCGCCGUCUGUUGUGGUCUGAGGUUCACCACUGGCACGAUCCCUCCGCCAGCCUCCACCCUGGCAGCCCGCUGUAGCCCUGGCAAAGGCCCCUACCCGCUGCUACCCAUACCGAGCUGUCUGUGGAGGAAUGCACCCGGCCCGCGGAGGCUGAAGACGAGACCAUUGUUUUUAUUUUGUCUGUUUUUUUUUAAUUUUCUCAUUCAUAGCUUUGAACAUUCCCGACGAUUCCUCUGUGUGCUGGUUUCUCUUUAUGGCUCUCUCCUCUUGGCUCAGCACAAUAUUUGUUGGCCACCCUGCCAGUCAUCUCAUUUAAUAAUCUGGGCGAAAAAAACCAACAAAAAACCCCCAAACAAAAACAUUAAAUACACAAUGAUUCUGAAUCAGCUGCAGGAGAGGAUUUACUUUGAGUAAAUUCGCUCAACAGUUGCCCGUGCAUGCCCACAUUUUCUGUUGACAAAAUAUUGUUACACUCGCAGUCGAGGCUCCUGUUGCAUUAAUGAGCGUCCUCGGCGAAAUGCAGGACUGCAAGUCAGCCUUGAACUCCGUAGCCCCCCUUUCAUGGACUUCAAAGAAUGUCUCAACGGGCCUGGAGAGUUGGGAGAGAAGCGCGAUGACGGACGAGCGGCUGCUUAGAUAUCUUCCCAGGGAGCGACUGGCUGAGUGAGUGACAAUUCCUGUGCGUCCGUCGACCUUUUUAAAAUUCCAGCGCGACUUCAGUCGGCUUUAGUGAAACCAGGCUCAGUCACAUGA